GACGAGCGCUGGCGGCGUGCCUAAUACAUGCAAGUAGAACGCUGAAGAGAGGAGCUUGCUCUUCUUGGAUGAGUUGCGAACGGGUGAGUAACGCGUAGGUAACCUGCCUGGUAGCGGGGGAUAACUAUUGGAAACGAUAGCUAAUACCGCAUAAAAUGGAUUAUCGCAUGAUAAUCCAUUGAAAGGUGCAAAUGCAUCACUACCAGAUGGACCUGCGUUGUAUUAGCUAGUUGGUGGGGUAACGGCUCACCAAGGCGACGAUACAUAGCCGACCUGAGAGGGUGAUCGGCGACACUGGGACUGAGACACGGCCCAGACUCCUACGGGAGGCAGCAGUAGGGAAUCUUCGGCAAUGGACGGAAGGCUGACCGAGCAACGCCGCGUGAGUGAAGAAGGUUUUCGGAUCGUAAAGCUCUGUUGUAAGAGAAGAACGAGUGUGAGAGUGGAAAGUUCACACUGUGACGGUAUCUUACCAGAAAGGGACGGCUAACUACGUG
rnacentral:rRNA from 1 species